rnacentral:pre_miRNA from 1 species
UGCAUGUGAAUGUGCAUAUGUACGCGUGUGUGUACACAUGAAUGUGUGCAUGUGAAUGUUAUAUG